rnacentral:rRNA from 1 species
AUUGAACGCUGGCGGAAUGCUUUACACAUGCAAGUCGAACGGCAGCACGGGGCAACCUGGUGGCGAGUGGCGAACGGGUGAGUAAUACAUCGGAACGUGCCCAGUCGUGGGGGAUAACGUAGCGAAAGUUACGCUAAUACCGCAUACGAUCUACGGAUGAAAGCGGGGGAUCGCAAGACCUCGCGCGAUUGGAGCGGCCGAUGUCAGAUUAGGUAGUUGGUGGGGUAAAGGCCUACCAAGCCGACGAUCUGUAGCUGGUCUGAGAGGACGACCAGCCACACUGGGACUGAGACACGGUCCAGACUCCUACGGGAGGCAGCAGUGGGGAAUUUUGGACAAUGGGGGCAACCCUGAUCCAGCCAUGCCGCGUGAGUGAAGAAGGCCUUCGGUUGUAAGACUCUUUCGGUCCGGGAAGAAAGUCGUAUGGGUUAAGUACCCUGUGCGGAUGACGGUACCGGCAUAAGAAGCACCGGCUAACUACGUGCCAGCAGCCGCGGUAAGAGUA